rnacentral:lncRNA from 1 species
CGCAGGCGCAGAGCACGCCUCGGUUGUCAAACAUGGCUGAAGUGCUGCCGCUGCCGCUGCUGCCGCUGCAGGGAAAAUGCUGAGCCCUCCCGGGCCGGGUGGGCGGCGGCGGCGAGGGCGGCGACGGGGAUCCGCUUCCCGGGCGCGGCGGCGGCGGCCAUGGCCCGGCUGGCUGACUACUUCAUUGUGGUAGGCUACGACCACGAGAAGCCAGGUAAGGGUGUGGGGCGGGCGCCGC